rnacentral:rRNA from 1 species
AGAGAACGCGGCGGCGUGCUUAACACAUGCAAGUCGAGCGGUAAGGCCCUUCGGGGUACACGAGCGGCGAACGGGUGAGUAACACGUGGGUGAUCUGCCCUGCACUUCGGGAUAAGCCUGGGAAACUGGGUCUAAUACCGGAUAUGACCUUCGGCUGCAUGGCCGAGGGUGGAAAGGUUUACUGGUGCAGGAUGGGCCCGCGGCCUAUCAGCUUGUUGGUGGGGUAAUGGCCUACCAAGGCGACGACGGGUAGCCGACCUGAGAGGGUGACCGGCCACACUGGGACUGAGACACGGCCCAGACUCCUACGGGAGGCAGCAGUGGGGAAUAUUGCACAAUGGGCGAAAGCCUGAUGCAGCGACGCCGCGUGAGGGAUGACGGCCUUCGGGUUGUAAACCUCUUUCAGCCGGACC